rnacentral:rRNA from 1 species
UACGUAGGGUGCAAGCGUUGUCCGGAAUUAUUGGGCGUAAAGAGCUCGUAGGCGGUUUGUCGCGUCGAAUGUGAAAUCCCGGGGCUCAACCCCGGGUCUGCAUUCGAUACGGGCAGACUAGAGUCCGGAAGAGGCGAGUGGAAUUCCUGGUGUAGCGGUGGAAUGCGCAGAUAUCAGGAGGAACACCAAUAGCGAAGGCAGCUCGCUGGGACGGUACUGACGCUAAGGCGCGAAAGCGUGGGGAGCGAACAGG